rnacentral:lncRNA from 10 species
GUGACCGCUUCCACCUUUAAACACGGGGCUUGCAACUUAGCUCACACCCGACCAAUCAGAUAGUAAAGAGAGCACACUAAAAUGCUAAUUAGGCAAAAACAGGAGGUAAAGAAAUAGCCAAUCAUCUAUUGCCUGAGAGCAAAGCGGGAGGGACAAUGAUCGGGAUAGAAACCCAGGCAUUCAAGCCGGAAUGGCUACCCUCUUUGGGUCCCCUCCCUUUGUAUGGGAGCUCUGUUUUCACUCUAUUCAAUCUUGCAACUGCACUCUUCUGGUCCGUGUUUGUUACAGCUUGAGCUGAGCUUUCGCUCGCCUUCCACCACUGCUGUUUGCCGCCAUCGCAGACCUGCCGUGCUGACUUCCAUCCCUCUAGAUCUGGCAGGGUGUCCGCUGUGCUCUUGAUCCAGCGAGGCGCCCAUUGCCGCUCCCGAUUGGGCUAAAGGCUUGCAAUUGUUCCUGCACGCUAAGUGCCUGGGUUCAUCCUCAUCAAGCUGGGUUCCACGGUUCUCUUCAUGACCCGCAGCUUCUAACAGAGCUAUAAAACUCUGUGCAUGGCCCAAGAUUCCAUUCCUUGGAAUCUGUGAGGCCAAGAACCCCAGGUCAGAGAACAGGAGGCUUGCCACCAUCUUGGAAGUGGCUCGCCACCAUCUUAGGAGCUCUGUGAGCGGAGACCCCCACCCCCCGGUAACAUUUUGGCGACCACGAAGGGACCUCCAAAGCGAGCUAGGGAGAUACCUGUGCCAACUCUGGCUUUGUUUGCUCUGCCAGACAAUCCUGAUGCUGCAAAGUCAAAUCAUCGUGAAGGAAGUUUGUGCAAAUGUGGGAAACAGGACUAUAAUCCUGCUUGAAGUUUGCUUAGAUUCCUGGGAAGUCUCCCUAUUCCAACCCUUUUUGAGAAAGAGGUUGUGUUCUGCUAAAGUCAAGAAGAAAACCAAGAAACAGGAAACCAUGAGAUGUAGCAGAAGAGGGAGGCAAAGUAAAAUCCUAGGAAGAUGCAACAAAAGUAUCAAGACCACAGCAAGCCUAGAUCAACCAGUCCAAGUCUGAAGGCCUGAGGACCAGGAGCACUGAUGAUACUGAGAAAACGUGGUCCUUUUGUCGGUAAAAGAGUUUGGUAUAACAACAUCAAUGCAUGCGGGAAUUGUUCCUUUCUGCCUAAAGUACAGUUUUGGGCUUCUCUGAAGACAUGUCAUUUUACCCAAGACCUGAAAGAUGAGGAUGGUCAAGCCCUAUCACAAAACAAGUGAAGAUGUCCAGGCAAGUAUUCCAAAAUGAAUAAAGAACCUAGAGUGAACAUCAUACAUUCAGGAUCCUCCUCAAGAAAGAAAAUAUGACUGAAACCAUUGAUGGCCUCAACAUAUUCUUCUACAAUUGAUUUGUUCAUUAUCUUUUAAUGGACAUUUUGCUCUGAGUGAGAAAGAGAGAGAGGCCGGGAGGGGGGAAGGGCACAGAAUUGUAUAGGGUAUGCACAUUUACAAUUUUAUUUGAUUCACCAACUUGCUCUCAAACAGGGUUGAACCAAUUGUUGCUCUCAAGCAUGCAUAAGAUAUUCUGUUACUCUUUGCAAUCAGCCACAUUUACAGUAGUGUAUAGUAGUGCAUGUGCCGGUGUAGUGUGUGUGUGAGCGCAUGGGAGCGAGCGAGCGAGCGAGAGAGACAGAGAGAGAGAGGGAGGGGGGAGAAGUAGAGAGAGAGAGUUUUAAUUUGGCCAUUUUUAUGGAGAGAGAGAGAGAGGGAGGGAGGGAGAGGGGAGAAGUAGAGAGAGAAUUUUAAUUGGGCCAAGUUUAUGGAGGUAUGAAAUGAUUAUUUUUUUCUUAUGGUUUUUAGUUACAUGUCUCUUAUUACUGCUGAAGUUAGCACACUUUCAGAUAAACAUGCAGAAACACACCCACCAUUUGGAUGUCUUCCCUAGGAAUUGCCUGUACAUAAACCUUGACCUCUCUGCUUGGAUAGCUGACUUUUUAUCUUGUUGAUUCAUAGGAGUUAUUUACAUACUUUGGAUAAGAAUUCUUGCAGAUUAUGUUAUUUUUCCCAGAGCUUGGUUUUUUAUUUUCACAUACAUACUGCCUGUUUUAAUGAGAAGAAAUUUUAAAAGUAUCUACUUUUUAUCCUUAUCUUUCCUGUUUUAGCUAUUUAUAUCUUGUUUAAUAAACAUUUCUUUUCCCUGAGGCAACAGAGACAUUCAGACACAUUUAAAAAUUUUUACAUUUUCAGUAUUCACUUUUAGGUCCAACGUACCUUGAAUUCAUUUGUGUGUGUGUGUGUGUGUGUGUGUGUGUGUAUCCUGUAGGUAUGGAUCUAACUUAAUUUAUCACAGGAAUAACUGUCCCAGCUCCAUUUAAUGGCUACUGUGCCCUUUUCUACUGACCUGGUGCCUCUGUCACAUGUUGAGUUUCCAACUGAUUCAGCACUCUGUAUUUCAGCUCUUCACUGUGUGGCCUUAGAUUUGUCGCCUGUGGAUUACUAUUUAAAUGUUCAUUGUUUUACCUUUAAAUAAAAUUUCUUUUAGAACAGGGUAAUUCCUUCUCUUUUUUGGCUCCUCCUUGCUCCUUCCACUUUCCUUCCCUCCUCCUCACACUUCUCUUUGUCUUAUGAAAUUAUCUUGCCAAUUUUUUGAACGUUUGCCCAUCCAGUCAAGUAACAAAGACUUAGAUACAUUCAUGGAGAAGUGACCUUGUUGAAAAUUGAGAAAUGGCUGCUUUCUCAAUUUCUGCAAGUCUUUAAAAGUGUCUUUCAAGAAUUAUAUAUCAUUUUUACCCUACAACUAAUAAAGAAAUGACAAUUUUAUUAUUAUUAUGGAUCCAGUAUAUCCUUAAUAAUUAUUUUUAGUAUAAAAUCUGUUUUAUUACAUCAAUAUAGUUUGAAUAUUUU